rnacentral:tRNA from 1 species
GGGCGAAUGGUUUAGUGGUAUAAUACUCCCUUAGCAUGAGCCGUCCUACGGAUUGCCCAACUAAUUGGGAGUGGUCCAGGGUUCGAUUCCCUGUUCGUCCA